rnacentral:lncRNA from 1 species
UUUUUUUUUAAUGUUUCAUUUGUAGGGAUUUUUGAAAGAACUUGAGGAGGAUGGUGUCAGUUCUUGAAAUCUACAAGAAUCUACUCUUGGUAGAUUUCAAGAGUGAAACCUUUUGGUCCCAGGCUUUCAUUUGUUGGGGAGUUUUUGAUUAUUGUAUCAAGCUCUGUGUUGUAGGCUUGCUCAGAUUUUCUAUUUUUUCAUGAGUGCCUCUGUAGAUUAUGUUUCUAGACAUUCAUUGAUAUCAUCAUUGUUACCCAAUUUGUUGGCGUGCCCCUGGGGAUUUCCAAGGGGGCUCUAAGGCUCUGUUCUCAGUGCAUUCUGCAGGUGGUGCAGGAUGCUCUGGCAGGGAGAAGUGUUCCACUGCCCUGUGAUCAGGCCUUGUUUUGGGGAAGCCUGUGUUCCUGGUUGGUGACUUGUCAUUUCACCCCUCCACUGGUAGAGGCAGACAGGUUAGAGGGACAAGGACUUACUUGGGUGUUUCCCUUCCUCCCAGAGGUUGGGCUCUGGGAACAUCCCAUUUGGUUAUGCUUUUGGCUCACAGUUUUCUUUUGAAGGAAACUUAAGGAGGACAGAAUUCUCUGGGGAUAUUUCUAAACAACUGCUGUUUUCGUCUCCCUAUCAGAAGCAGGAAGCCAUUUUUCUUGAAUCCACUGGGUCUCUGACAGUGAGGUUUACAAAUUUGUGCAGUUCCCUAAGCCUGGGCCUCUUCAAGUAUUUAAGUCUCGGGUCUGUCCUUGCUUAUCCCCAGCAAUUCAUUAAUUACAGUUUAGGUUGACCUCCUUCUGCUCUGCUGCCUGAAGUUCCUGCUUAUUGAUCUUUGUUCUAGGAAAUGAUGAUUCUUGAUCUGCCUUUUAUCUCUGCAACUUGGGGACAGUGGAUUGCCCUGUGACCUCGGUUCUGCUGUGGAUCUAGGAGGAGCUGCUGCUUGAGCAUCUUUUUCUUUUCCUUGUGGAGCAGGACUGUUGUCCUCUAUGUCCUUCUCUGCUGGUUUGGAACCAACACUGAUUUCUUCUGAGGGCAGAGUCCAUAUGAGCUUCUGCUAGUCCCUACCUCAACACUGCCACACUGGGGACCAAGCUUCUAGCACAUGAACCCUUGGGGGACACACACAAACCAAGGUUUCUUCUGUUAAAUAUGUUUUGGCCAUUUCCCCAUGGUUUAAUUAUGUGUUCAUUAAUUUAUUUUCACUCUGCACACUAAUUCUUUAAAUUUAUUAUUUUUAAGUUUUCUAGUUGUAAGUGAAUCCAAUACUUUUAUAUUAUUUAUUUAUUUUUAUGUAGUGCUAAGGAUCAAAUCCAGUGUCUCAUAUAUGCUAGGCAAGUACUCUAUCCCUGAGCCACCAUCCCAGCCCCACACUAAUUCUUUUAUAUUGCAUGUAUGGCUGAUAUUCUCUCCGACUUUUUGUUUGUCUUCUACCUCUUGUUAGUACAUUUCUUCAUGGCUUGCUCUGUUUCUUUUAUGAGAAAAUUCUCUAUUCUGGCAUCAAAAAGAUAUUUGUGAUUUCUCAAAGAGGCUAGAUUUACCAUACACAUUUGCAGGAAGAGUAAAUUGAUUAUUAACUCUGAAUUGGAAAGGAAUAUGAUGCAUGUUUCUAGUUUGAUACAACUUUGUUCCUGCCUUAUGUACUAAAGUGAUCCUGAUUUAUGCUAUUAUUCUACAAUGCCUGCUCCAUCAAUAGACAGCCUACCAAAUAUAUGGUGGCCCAUAGAAGGCUCUUUUCCCUCUCUUGGUCUAUUUGUCAGUAAUGUGAUCUGCUGAUCUUAAAAUCUUUAAGUAUGUUGGUCAAGUUUUCACUUUCUUCUUCAGAUGGCUAUAAGUAUUGU